GAUGAACGCUGGCGGCGUGCUUAACACAUGCAAGUCGAACGAGAAGUGGAGACGGAAACCUUCGGGCGGAAGACUUUAUUUCGAGUGGCGGACGGGUGAGUAACGCGUGGGUAACCUGCCUCAUACAGGGGGAUAACAGUUGGAAACGACUGUUAAUGCCGCAUAAGACCACAGCACCGCAUGGUGCGGGGGUAAAAACUCCGGUGGUAUGAGAUGGACCCGCGUUCGAUUAGCCAGUUGGCGGGGUAACGGCCCACCAAAGCGACGAUCGAUAGCCGAUCUGAGAGGAUGACCGGCCACAUUGGGACUGAGACACGGCCCAAACUCCUACGGGAGGCAGCAGUGGGGAAUAUUGCACAAUGGGGGAAACCCUGAUGCAGCGACGCCGCGUGAGUGAAGAAGUAUUUCGGUAUGUAAAGCUCUAUCAGCAGGGAAGAAAAUGACGGUACCUGAGUAAGAAGCCCCGGCUAACUACGUG
rnacentral:rRNA from 1 species